CUACGGGACGCAGCAGUGAGGAAUUUUGCGCAAUGGGGGAAACCCUGACGCAGCAACGCCGCGUGAGUGAUGAAGGCUUUCGGGUCGUAAAGCUCUGUCAAGUGGGAAGAACCUGCUCGAUGCUAAUACCAUCUAGCACUGACGGUACCACUAAAGGAAGCACCGGCUAACUCCGUGCCAGCAGCCGCGGUAAUACGGGGGGUGCAAGCGUUAUUCGGAAUUAUUGGGCGUAAAGGGCGCGUAGGCGGUCUCUAAAGUCAGAUGUGAAAGCCCGGGGCUUAACCCUGGAAGUGCAUUUGAAACGUAGGGACUUGAGUAUGGGAGAGGGAAGUGGAAUUCCUGGUGUAGCGGUGAAAUGCGUAGAUAUCAGGAGGAACACCAGUGGCGAAGGCGACUUCCUGGACCAAUACUGACGCUGAGGCGCGAAGGCGUGGGGAGCAAACAGGAUUAGAUACCCGAGUAGUC
rnacentral:rRNA from 1 species